AUGUUCUCUUUAUCUUUCUAUGUGUUCUGCAACCAUCUCAACUUUAACCCUGGGCUGGGACUGAAGGAGAAAAAAAACCCUAGACAACUUGGGAUCCGGCAAUCUGGAAACCGAGCAGAGACCGCUCCCGCGGCGAAGGACCACAGGGGCAAUAGAAUAGGUAACCACACCCACCGCAUUGCAGAAGCCGUGAACUUGGGGGGGGGGGGGGAGGAGGGGAAGGAGGGCGAGAGAAGAGGGGAGACCCCAGACGGCGGGGGGCCCCGCGGCAGGAGCCGGGAAACACUCGCCUGGAACUGGCAGAGACCCCGACUCCCGGGGUCCCGAGCCCCGCGCCCCGGCCUCCCCGCCCCCAGCCGCCGCAGCGCCGCCCGCGCACACGCCUCCCGGGGCAGCGCAGCCUCACGGACGCCAGGUUUGCAGCUUUGAGAAAUUUUGAGGAAGAAAAUGUGACUUGAGUUAUGUCACAGGAAAAAUAUUCUGAUAACACUGCAAAUACUAGAAAGGAUGGGCAGACAGGAGGUGAGUAUGGCAUUGUUCCAAGGACCAGAGAUAAAGACCUGAACUGUCUUUUAAGUGACAGACAAAGGUGACAGUUCAAACACUGGUUGUGUUUGGUGAUGACCUGUGUUCAUUUCCUAUGGGGGCCACAAGAGUGUUCAGAGAUAUAUAUACACAUAUAUGUAACAUCUGUGCAUAUAUGGCGGUGUGUGUUGCAUAUGAGAUCUGUGAAUAAAGAAAGGAUUUCUUUUCCUAUUUUAUAUAUGCACACUAAACCACUUUCCUUUAAAGUGGACUUGAACAAAUUGUAUUGUUUACAGUAUACACUGCAUUGGCAUUAUCACUGGAGAUACAGAUGGUUUCAUAUUUUCAUUCAUUUUAUUGCAGUAUUUUUGCUAUUUUUUUUUUUUAAUUGAAAGUGAACCGCUUUCUCCCUGACUGAUGAAUCUUGGAUCUUUCUAGUGAUGGAAAAAAUCAGUAAUAGUGUAUGAAGGUCUAUUUUCUUGGGAGAAAAUGUUCAAAUACUAAACAUUAGUUUUAAAAGUUAGAAGUACCUAACUAUUCUUCCUAAUACUGCAUGAAUUCAAAAUUUGGAGUAAAAACCAUACUGCUUCAUAGUUUAAUAGUUAACCUGGGAAGCGAUUAUUAUGAAACUGUUUGGGCUUGACCAAGGCUCUAUGGUAUUCUUCUUUGUUUUUCCUAGCACACAUAUGGAGAAAAAGAAAGGCCAAACAAAAAUUCAGGAGCAUCACAGAGCUAGCUCAUCAGUACUUGCUUGUAUCUCUGUAAUAAACACUCUUCUUUCUACCUUGUGAAUAUCAUGCCAAAGCCGCUGCUAGUCAUCUGUCUCCCCACAGUGCCUCACUGGGUACAUUGCAAGCAAGCAGUGAACACUUGCUAAAUGAAUAAAUGGACAUGGAAUAAUGAACUAAGUUGUCACUUGGACGGUUCUUUUUCCUCACAAAUAAAGGACUAUUUCCAAAAUGCUUAUGUUUCAAAAGCACUUCACUUCAGUCGCUCAGUCGUGUUCGACUCUGCGACCCCAUGAAUCGCAGCACGCCAGGCCUCCCUGUCCAUCACCAACUCCCGGAAUUCACUCAGAUUCACGUCCAUCGAGUCAGUGACACCAUCCAGCCAUCUCAUCCUCUGUCGUCCCCUUCUCCUGCUCCCAAUCCCUCCCAGCAUCAGAGUCUUUUCCAAUGAGUCAACUCUUCGCAUGAGGUGGCCAAUAGGGUUCCACAAAAUAAAAAGAUGCUAUCACAUAUUAAUGUUGUUUAGUAUCUGACUCUUUUGUGACCCCAUGGACUAUAGCCCACCAGGCUCCUCUGUCCAGGCAAGAAUACUGGAGUGGGUUGCCAUUUCCCAACCCAGAGAUCAAACACAUGUCUCCUGCAUGGUCUUUACCACUGAGCCAUCAGAUAUUAACACCUGCUGAGUAAAAACAAUAAUGUAAAGAUUACACUUAGGAAUUAUAACUCUCUUUCGGAAAUAAAAUAAGGAGCUCUUCAACCUGGAAAAGAGAAGGGGAAAGCAAAAAGAAGGUAAGGUGAUGCUAUUCAUAAAACACUAAUAAACACUCUACAUCCCUCCAGCUAUCAAAAAUAAAGCCACUCUACCCCCAGAGAAUUUGAUAUUCUUGUCUGUGUAAGACCCCUCAUGGUGCUGCUUCAAUGGGUUACAGAAAAGUAGUUCUUGGGUCAAAGAAAUGCCUUUCAUACAGUCCCAGAGUGAAUGCAGAUUUGGCAUGAGAAUUCAGAUUCCAGAUUUUCUGUGUUCAUACAGGAAAUGCUGAAAUAAUCCAUGAAACGUGGGGCAAGAAUGACCCCAUGCCAUGACUCCAGCCCAGGUCUUAGUUCCUUCUGGUCUCUCCCACUAAGAGAGAGGCUUACCCUACAAUGGGCUUCCUGAGAUUGCUCUCUUGUAGGGAAGAUACAGGUUUCCCAGGUGGCUCAGUGGGUAAAGAAUCCACCUGCAAUGCAGGAGACACAAUUUGAUCCCUGGGUCAGGAAGAUCUCCUGGAGAAGGAAAUGACAACUCACUCCAGUAUUCUUGCCUGGGGAAUCCCAUAGACAGAGGAACCUGGAAGGCUACAGUCAUAGGUCACAAAGAAUUGGACAGAACUGGAGUGACUGAGCAUGCAUGCACGCAGGGAAGAUACAUCACUAAAGGCCAGCAAGCUAUCCAGAAUUCUAGCCAUGGUCCAGAGAAAAGGGACACAGCUUACUUUAGGCAAAGUGUGUGUGUGACUUCAUCCCAAACCGUAGAGACAGGAUUCCCCACGAGCCACCAUCCAUCCACGAGCAUCAAUAGCAUGCUGACUCCAUGGUACACACGGGUACCAUGCUACCUGAUGAGCGAUGAUAACUCCAGCCUGAUGGCCAAGGCAAAGGCAGCAUUUACCAGCUGUAUGACAGCCUUAUCAACAAGACUCCAGGAAGACAUGAUGGAGAGUCUGUCUAGUGAACCCACCAGGACGUUGCCCUCCAGCAGGAAGACUGGGAGAACACUGACUGAAGCUUCACCAAACCUGGCAGAUGCGGCCGCUCUAACAGGCGUGCACCGCUGUCCAUGAUCUCUGACCACCUUUCAUGAAAGCAUGUGGUAUUUAAAAAUAACUCCAUGCCCUUCAGUCCUUUAGGCUGACUGUUCCUCAUCGUUAGUUGUCCUAGUAAAAUGCUAACAACCCUCACAGUAACUAGCUGAGGCUUAUUUUAUGCUCAUGAUAAUCUCAGGCACCUGAAUUGCAUAUCAAGUCCUUGAAAAGAGGACACAAAGUCUUCAGCCAUGGCAUUACCAGGGACCAUAAAUAAGGGAAAUCCAGGGAUGAAUGCAUAAUUCAGAAGCAACAAGCUUAUUCUUCCGAAAUGAAAAUUCAUUUGAGAGUUUCUGGGUUCUAAGAAUAGUGUCAAGUUAACAGCUUAUCAAGGCUUCCAGAUGCUUCAUUCUGAGUUUGUAUACAUCUUUUCAGGGGUCUGUGUACAUGCAGAGCACAGAUGCAGAACGAAAUUUUAAAACGCAAGUACAAAUGCAGCACAAACUAUGUAAAGAUAUGUACAUAUGAGAGGGAGCAAGUUUAGACCUGCUAGCACAUCAUUUUUUUUUUAAUGUUGAAGACUUAUUCUCUUUCCUCUCCUUUAUUCAGCUAUUUUUAAAAACAUUUUUAUUUAUUUCUAAUGGGAGGAUAAUUAUUUUACCAUAUUGUGUUGGUUUCUGACAUACAUCAACAUGAAUCAGCCAUAGAUAUACAUAUGUCCCCUCCCAUUUGAACUUCCCUCCCACCUCCCAUCCCAUCCUAUCCCUCUAGGCUGUCACAGAGCACCAGUUUGAGCUCCCUGCAUCAUACAGCAAAUUCCCCCUAUCUGUUUUACAUACAGUAGUGUUUAUGUUUCCAUGCUCCUCUCUCCAUUCGUCCCACCACCUCCUUCCCACCCUGUGUCCACAAAUCUGUUUUCUAUUAUCUUUGUCUCCAUUGCUCCCUUGCCAAUAGAUUCAUCAGUACCAUCUUUCUAGAUUCCAUAUAUAUGCGUUAGUAUAUGAUAUUUGUUCUUCUCUUUCAAACUUAUUUCACUCUGUAUAAUAGGCUGCUAGCACAUCAUUCUUAAAAAUCAUUCCUAUUCAUCAAAAUUCCAUAUUUUCUUCCUUUCUAUCUUUGUAGUCUUGGAAAAAUAUUAGUCAAAAAGACAUGGCUAAUACAUAUCAUGUAAGUUUCAUUGUAUUAAAA
ensembl:lincRNA